rnacentral:tRNA from 1 species
GGGGUUGUAGCUUAGUGGUAAAGCACUUGCCUAGUGUGUAUGAGGCACUGGGUUCUAUCCUCAGCACCA